rnacentral:rRNA from 1 species
UACCAUGCAAGUCGAACGGUGAAGCCCCGCUUGCGGGGUGGAUCAGUGGCGAACGGGUGAGUAACACGUGAGCAACCUGCCCCUGACUCUGGGAUAAGCGCUGGAAACGGCGUCUAAUACUGGAUACGAGACGUGAUCGCAUGGUCAACGUUUGGAAAGAUUUUUCGGUUGGGGAUGGGCUCGCGGCCUAUCAGCUUGUUGGUGAGGUAAUGGCUCACCAAGGCGUCGACGGGUAGCCGGCCUGAGAGGGUGACCGGCCACACUGGGACUGAGACACGGCCCAGACUCCUACGGGAGGCAGCAGUGGGGAAUAUUGCACAAUGGGCGCAAGCCUGAUGCAGCAACGCCGCGUGAGGGAUGACGGCCUUCGGGUUGUAAACCUCUUUUAGCAGGGAAGAAGCGAGAGUGACGGUACCUGCAGAAAAAGCACCGGCUAACUACGUGCCAGCAGCCGCGGUAAUACGUAGGGUGCAAGCGUUAUCCGGAAUUAUUGGGCGUAAAGAGCUCGUAGGCGGUUUGUCGCGUCUGCUGUGAAAUCUGGGGGCUCAACCCCCAGCCUGCAGUGGGUACGGGCAGACUAGAGUGCGGUAGGGGAGAUUGGAAUUCCUGGUGUAGCGGUGGAAUGCGCAGAUAUCAGGAGGAACACCGAUGGCGAAGGCAGAUCUCUGGGCCGUAACUGACGCUGAGGAGCGAAAGGGUGGGGAGCAAACAGGCUUAGAUACCCUGGUAGUCCACCCCGUAAACGUUGGGAACUAGUUGUGGGGUCCAUUCCACGGAUUCCGUGACGCAGCUAACGCAUUAAGUUCCCCGCCUGGGGAGUACGGCCGCAAGGUA